CCUACGGGAGGCUGCAGUGGGGAAUAUUGCACAAUGGGGGAAACCCUGAUGCAGCGACGCCGCGUGUGGGAAGACGGUCCUCUGGAUUGUAAACCACUGUCCCCAGGGACGAAGAUGACGGUGCCUGGGAAGGAAGCUCCGGCUCACUACGUGCCAGCAGCCGCGGUAAUACGUGGGGAGCGCGCGGUGUCCGGAAUUACUGGGUGUAAAGUGGGCGUAGGCGGGACUGCAAGUUGGGUGUCAAAUCUACCGGCUCAACCGGUAGCCGCACUCAAAACUGGAGGUCUUGAGUGAAGUAGAGGCAGGCGGAAUUCCUAGUGUAGCGGUGAAAUGCGUAGAUAUUAGGAGGAACACCAGUGGCGAAGGCGGCCUGCUGGGCUGCAACUGACGCUGAGGCUCGAAAGUGUGGGGAGCAAACAGGAUUAGAUACCCGAGUAGUC
rnacentral:rRNA from 1 species